rnacentral:rRNA from 1 species
CAGGUCGAACGGCAGCAGGCCAUGUAGCAAUAUAUGGUGCUGGCGAGUGGCGAACUGGUGAGUAACACGUAAGAAUCUACCCUGAGGUGGGAGAUAACUCAUGGAAACAUGAGCUAAUACCGCAUAAUGCGAAGCUUAUAGCGAUAUAAGUUUUGUUAAAGGAGAAAUCCGCCACAGGAUGAGCUUGCGUCCCAUUAGCUAGUUGGCGGGGUAAAUGCCCACCAAGGCUAUGAUGGGUAGCUGGCCUGAGAGGGUGGUCAGCCACACUGGGACUGAGAUACGGCCCAGACUCCUACGGGAGGCAGCAGCUAAGAAUCUUCCUCAAUGGGGGAAACCCUGAAGGAGCGACACUGCGUGCAGGAUGAAGGCCCUUUGGGUUGUAAACUGCUUUUGCAGGGGAGAAAUAACCGAAUGGGAUGAUAGUACUCUGCGAAUAAGUCCCGGCUAACUACGUGCCAGCAGCCGCGGUAAUACGUAAGGGGCGAACGUUGCUCGGAAUCACUGGGCGUAAAGGGCCGGUAGGUGGCUUUAUAAGUCGGUUGUCAAAUACCUAUGCUCAACGUAGGAGAGGCGACCGAUACUGUAGAGCUUGAGUAGAGGAUGGGAUGAUGGAAUACCCGGUGUAGGGGUGAAAUCUGUUGAUAUCGGGUAGAACACCGAUGGCGAAAGCGAUCAUCUAGCCUCAUACUG